CGAGGUGUAGCUCAGCUGGUAGAGCGCUGCGUUCGGGACGCAGAGGCCGCAGGUUCAAGUCCUGUCACUUCGACCA
rnacentral:tRNA from 1 species